AUGCGCCUCGUCAUGGGCUGCUGGGCUCCUUGGAGGAGACCUCCCUGCUUUGGAAGGGCAGGGCAGAGGCUGGUGGGGCUCUCUGUGCAGAACAGCAUUUUGCAGUCCCCAGUGUCAAGUGCAAGGCAGCCCAGUCCAGGCAGAGCACGCCGACGCCCAGAUCUUGGUCUGACACCAUCCUCUCCACAGUCCUCACUCCCAGAAGCAGCGAACCCAGAGACAGAGCCGCAGCGCAGAGGCUCCACGCGUCAUUUCCGUGUUUGGGCUGUGAGGUUAUUUUCUUCUAGAGAGACCAGCAUGGAAAGAGGGGAGGGGUCUUUGCAGUGGAGAGACCCAACGCACACCUCAGCCAGGGGAGUUUCUGGCUUGUGUGCUUGGCUGUUGCCCUGGCUCCAGCUGUUCCUGCUGCGCCUGCAGAGCCUCGUUCUCGCUGUGUCCUGGCUGCUGGGCCCCCGUCCUCGCCUGCCACUUCUCUCUCUCGGCACAGGACGCUCCCUGACUCAGCUGUCGGGGGGUUCUUCCACGCUCCCCGGGUGAUCCGAAUUGUUACAUCUUUGUGUUUUUGCAAGAAACAUUUCCCUCUUGCCAUGUCCCUGUCUUUCUGGCUCAGCUGUCUCUCUUGAAGGCCGCCUCCUCCCCUUACGUGGGGGCCGUGCCUCCCACAUCACACUGUAAAUGUCAGAGUUUUCCUCUUUCUCCAGAAAAUUAUCUUAAAAAAUUCUUCUGUGUCUUCAGAAUAAGGCUCCUUCUUCCGUGUUUCAUGCUCUUUCCCCAUAAUCCUGCACGCCCCUCCUUCUCCAAGGAAGGGCCGUCCGUUGAGACCCCAGUGGCCCCUCGUGAGCCCAGCAGAGCUGCCUCCUUGGUUUGGCUCAAUUCCCCCCAGUCUCCGUCUCACACGGCUGCCCUGUGAGCUCUUUGUGCAGGGGUGUGAAAGUCAGCCCCUCUGACCCCCACGGGCCCCCAGGGCCUGCUGGGUCUGGACAGACUCGGAGAACCAGUCCCUGCCCAUCUGCUGAGCACUGGUAGAGUUGUUGCAAACCCACUCUGGGCGUGGGCUGGUUCUGAGAAGGUUGGCUGUUCCUUUUCUGCAGGUUCCUGAUGUUCCUGACAGUGACUGAUCCCUGCAAGGGCCUCCGCGAGAGCUGUCAGGCACUGUGCAAGUGGGCGCAGCGUUGCCGUGGAGACCCGAGGAUCCCGGGCUCCAGGCUGCGUACCCUCCAGCCCAAUGCCCAGCCCUGCCCUGAGGAGAGAGCCAGGCACAGAGGGGUCGCGCCCCUGACGACUUGAUGGGAGGUCACCUUGCACUGCUUACCAGCAAGAUGUGGUAUCUAUUCC
ensembl:lncRNA